GACGAACGCUGGCGGCGUGCUUAACACAUGCAAGUCGAACGGAAAGGCCCUGCUUUUGUGGGGUGCUCGAGUGGCGAACGGGUGAGUAACACGUGAGUAACCUGCCCUUGACUUUGGGAUAACUUCAGGAAACUGGGGCUAAUACCGUAUAGGAGCUCCUGUUGCAUGGUGGGGGUGGGAAAGUUUCGGCGGUUGGGGAUGGACUCGCGGCUUAUCAGCUUGUUGGUGGGGGAGUUGCUUACCAAGGCUUUGACGGGUAGCCGGCCUGGGAGGGUGACCGGGCACAUUGGGACUGAGGUACGGCCCAGACUCCAACGGGAGGCAGCAGUGGGGAAUAUUGCCCAAUGGGCGCACGCCUGAUGAAGAGACGCCGCGUGCGGGAUGACGGCCUUCGGGUUGUAAACCGCUUUCGCCUGUGACGAAGCGUGAGUGACGGUAAUGGAUAAAGAAGCACCGGCUAACUACGUG
rnacentral:rRNA from 1 species